UACGGGAGGCAGCAGUGGGGAAUAUUGCACAAUGGGCGAAAGCCUGAUGCAGCUAUGCCGCGUGUAUGAAGAAGGCCUUAGGGUUGUAAAGUACUUUCAUCGGGGAGGAAAAACAAAACUAAUAAUUUUAUUUCUUGACGUUACCCGAAAAAGAAGCACCGGCUAACUCCGUGCCAGCAGCCGCGGUAAUACGGAGGGUGCUAGCGUUAAUCAGAAUUACUGGGCGUAAAGAGCACGUAGGUGGUUUUUUUAAGUCAGAUGUGAAAUCCCUGGGCUUAACCUGGAACUGCAUUUUGAAACUGAAAUACUAGAGUAUCGUAGAGGGAGGUAGAAUUCUAGGUGUAGCGGUGAAAUGCGUAGAUAUCUGGAGGAAUACCUGUGGCGAAAGCGGCCUCCUAAACGAAUACUGACACUGAGGUGCGAAAGCGUGGGGAGCAAACAGGGAUUAGAUACCCGU
rnacentral:rRNA from 1 species